CGAACGGGUGAGUAACGCGUGAGGAACCUGCCUCAAAGAGGGGGACAACAGUUGGAAACGAUUGCUAAUACCGCAUAAGCCCACGGCUCGGCAUCGAGCAGAGGGAAAAGGAGCAAUCCGCUUUGAGAUGGCCUCGCGUCCGAUUAGCUAGUUGGUGAGGUAACGGCCCACCAAGGCGACGAUCGGUAGCCGGACUGGGAGGUUGAACGGCCACAUUGGGACUGAGACACGGCCCAG
rnacentral:rRNA from 1 species